GAGGAAGCCGGUGUGAAUCCGGCGCGGUCCCGCCACUGUGAGCCCGUCAUGUGCGCGCUGCGCACAUGCGGGCGAGCCAGGAACUC
rnacentral:ncRNA from 2 species